rfam:Rattus norvegicus chromosome 5, whole genome shotgun sequence.
GGGGAUUUAGCUCAGUGGUAGAGCGCUUGCCUAGGAAGCGCAAGGCCCUGGGUUCAGUUCCCAGCUCCG